AAAACAUCGCCUCCUGCAACACAACCAUGUAUAGGAGGUCCAGCCUGCCCAGUGACUACAAGUUCAACGGCCGCGGUAUUUUGACCGUGCAAAGGUAGCGCAAUCACUUGUCUUUUAAAUAGAGACCUGUAUGAAUGGCCAAACGAGGGCUUAACUGUCUCCCUUUUCCAGUCAGUGAAAUUGAUCUGCCCGUGCAGAAGCGGACAUAUUAUUACAAGACGAGAAGACCCUUUGGAGCUUAAGGUACAAAACUCAACCACGUCAAGCAACUCAACAAAAAGCAAAAACUUUGCGGAAAAUGAGAUUUUACCUUCGGUUGGGGCGACCACGGAGGAAAAUAAAGCCUCCAAGUGGACUGGGAUAUACCUCCUAAAACUAAGAGAAACAUCUCUAAGCCACAGAACAUCUGACCAAACAUGAUCCGGCCACCUAUUGACCGAUCAACGAACCAAGUUACCCUAGGGAUAACAGCGCAAUCCUCUCCCAGAGUCCAUAUCGACGAGAGGGUUUACGACCUCGAUGUUGGAUCAGGACAUCCUAAUGGUGCAGCCGCUAUUAAGGGUUCGUUUGUUCAACGAUUAAAGUCCUACGUGA
rnacentral:rRNA from 1 species